GUGUUCGUGGAAAGAAGAGAUGGGUGGCAUCUCCCAUUCUACCCCAACAGGGACAGAAACAACCUUCGGGCAUUACCUGUGAUCAGACACAACCGGUUAAGGCUACCCUCUUUGGUGGAUCUAACCCUAUUUUUUU
rnacentral:ncRNA from 1 species